rnacentral:lncRNA from 1 species
AAGGCAUUCAUCCAUAAAUCUAUCGACAAAUAUAACCCUACUGGUGGAGUUUUGUUCAACGAAAAGGUACUGUUUUUAACGCAGUGAAUUGUACCUUAUUUCCAUUUCUCUUGUUAUAAUUAACUCUUCUAAUCAUUUCUUCCACAGACAUGAAUACUGACAUCAACUAUAUUACUUCUGUUAAAUUCACCAUCUCUAAACAACAUAAAUUCAAGGAUUAACUAAACAUAACAAUAAAAAGAAU